CAGUAUAAACUUUCUCAUCACUGUGUAAUCAAAAACACUCAAACCUCUGCAAGUCCAACUGUCCUGAACUGAGAACUGUUUACGAAGAACUAAAGCUCGGCUGUAAGAAAACAGACCAGAGGGCUGAAAAGACACACCAGCAAAGAGUGUAGAGAGAUGUCAGAUGAGUCUCCCCUGAGAGGCUUCACGCCAGGGGUCCUCAUGACAGUGGAAACCGGAACAUCUUAGGCGGGCGUGGAAUCAUACAAGUUACCCAGCCUGGAGGCGGGGAGGCCUCUGAGCUAACUGUAUAGUAAGACUCUUUCCUACAAAAAUAGAAGGGGGAAAUGAUGAGACACCACUGCACAUCUAUUUAAAGAGCCAACGUCCCGAAAAUAAAAUAACCCCAACAGCAGUGCUAAGGACUGGAGGGGUUAGCAAACUUGCUCACCGGAAAGCAAAAGGUCUCAGCCACUUCCUUUUCUAAAGCUUCGGUGUGAACAGUCACGACCCACUCAAAAUUCAAGAAUUAGAAGAAGAAGAAGUCUUAGCCCCCAGCGUGGCAGUGUUGGAGGAGGUUGUGGCCUUUGGGAAUGGAGUUCUAAUGAACUGGAUUAACAUCCUUAUAAAAAGGCCAAAGAGAGGCUUCUCAGCUCUCAGCAAUUCUUCUAUGCGUUUACCACAGCGCAAGGAAAGUGUUGGAUCGGGAGGUGGAGCCUCGUGCUCACUGAGCCUGCUUGAGCCUUCACUGUGAACUCACCAGCCUAACUGUGAGGGUUUCAGAUCUGGAAGCCCCGGAUCAAGGCAUCAUACAAUUUCACCCCGGAUGCUCGCUCUCCUCCUGGCUUGAGCUUGGGCUAUUCUUACUGACCAGAGGAUAUUGAGCCUGAUGAAGCCUGCUCACCUACGGCAGUACAGGGCCUGCUCCCUGCUGGCGCUCCCGUUCUUCAUCAACAAAUACCUAGGAAGGGUGCAAUAAGCUGUGGGAGGAGUCAGAGCAACGAAUCACAGUGAGAGAUCUUCCACAACAAGCAGUUGCAAAUCCCAAACCCAGAGCACUGUGAGCAUAUCAUUGAAGAUAAGACUUGAGACUCGGAAGAUGUUGUGACGUGAUCUAACCUAAUCCCUUGUGAAUGACUCUUCCUUCAAGGACACACUGAGGAACCUUGUACUUAGGAGAACACUGAACCCAAGGAAGCCUUGUGAGGCUUUAUCAGAGAGUAACUCACCAAAGAACUUCUUGUGAUAGUCCGGUGGCUUCCUGCUGCUUCCACAAACUCAGGAAGAUUGGUGGAGACUUGGGGGUUUCUUCUGGAUCAAACUGCCAUUGCUGAUUUAUGAAUAGCAAUUGCCAAAUGGACCAGAUUGCUGCUGCUGAUUCAUGUUGGUGUUUUGCUAGAGGGCUGGACUGCUGUCUAUGAAGAUUGGAAUGGUCCCAAAAAAACUAUUACUAAUCAGG